AAAUAAUGGUAAAGGAAAUACCACAUCAUCAUCUCAGAAAAAGAAGUACUACAGCAAAGGAACAACAUCUGUAUGGGCUAUGUUUGUCCACACACCUCGGAGCAGGGCACACUGGUACUCAGAUGGCCACAACUGAACUGGAAUCUCUCACAAUUCCCAGUUACGUUACACAUUUUUUUGAAGAAACAGCAGUCUUUGAAUGAAAAACUACUUAAAAGCAUCUCAAAAUAAGGCAACGAGAAAAAGAAACAGCUUUGUUUGGGAAAUACCACCAAGUUCCCAUCAACCCACAAGAUGCGUGCUUAAUUGCCCUCCUGUAGCUUUGUCAGAUUGCAUUUCUGUUGAAGGCAGGUGGUGAUUAAACUACAUAGCAUAGAGACUUCCUUUGAUCUAUGUAAAUGAAUGUAUAUGUAUAAACUAUGCAUUUUCAUCCAGCUGCAAACUGUAUCUCUAAGUGGUUAAAUCUAACCUCUUCCUCAAUGUUAGUAACUCCCAAACUCCAGGAGAUGAAGGUGCUCCUCAUCUUUUUUAGCAUGUAAUUCUCUCCUGUCUUGCUUCUGUGCUUUACAAAGGCAAGAUGUGUGGUGGGGGAGCUGCAGGGCCCAACGAGCAGUGAGCAGGGCCAUGGCUGAAGCAGGAACACGCGAAUGAGACCAGGUUGGGCCCAGCAUGGUUGAGCAGAGGGCUGCAGCUGCUGCUCCAGCUCCAGCACUUCUUUCACAAUUGGGCAGCAGAGCAGGACUAGCAGCUACUGCCUCACACGGGGUCAGUGGGAGUGUGCAGCAGUGCUGGAAGAAGCUAUGCCAAGGAGGAGGUCACUGCAGACUGGGUUUACAGCCCUCACUGUCUCCUUGUGAGAGCCUUUCUGGCCACCACAGCCCCAGGUCUGCCCUUACCUCUCCGUGGUACACAGGAGCCUCCUUUGGCUGCAGAUGCCUGGCAGCACUCACAGCAUGCAGUUCUUCACGGUGAGCACUGGUGGGGCUUCAGGAGAGGAAGGGUCAGGCCCUGUUCUGAGCAUAUCCCUGCUAGAAGGAAUUAGGAGAGGUGAAAAAUGGAGGUCUCGUUCUAGUAGCUGUUGUAAUGAAGGCAAAAGGUGCUGCAUGCAAUGUUAUUGCUUACAUUUCAGGUUGUUGCUGUAAUAUUCAUCAGCCCGGUCUGGUCAGUGACCUAAGUGUGUUUCAUAUGGCUUAUCUUGC
rnacentral:lncRNA from 1 species